CCAAGUCUCUUAAUCUAUAAAAUGGGUACAAAGGAAGCUGUGAGGGGAGGUUCAUUAGUUGCAGGGAUGGUAGUUAUGUCAUAAGUCCUUCCGGCCACAAAGAGGUGUCAGCCUCUUUGCAUCACUAAUGUUAAAAAACAAAACAAAAAACAAAAAACAGCUCUUAAGAAGCUCUGAAUUUGUAAGGAAAAAUCCACCCAGCCCUUGAGAUGUAUGUGGCUGAUUACUUUGUGCAGGUCAAAGGAGAAUCUGUCUUGACUCUAAAGGAGCUGAAGGAACACCCAGGGGGAGAGGGGCCAUUUCAAACCAGGAGGCCAACUGGCCAGAAGCAGGCUGAGAGGGAAGGGAAAGGCCAUGGGGGGCAGAUGCUGCUGGGGUCGAGGCUGAGUCCUUUUGGUUCUGACAAAGCUCCGACUGCAGGCCCCAACUCUCAAGAGACCUGGGCAGUUUGGAUGGCAGUAGAGUCAUCUUUCAGCUGUCUCUCUUGUCCUCAAGCAGCAGCCCAACCCGGGCGGGUGUCCCCAGUUCCCCAUCCCUGCACUGGAAGCCUGCAGGCCAGCACUGCUCUGAGACAGCUUCACCAACACCACUUUCUUGGGGAAGCCUCCUCUUCCCACACCUUUUUCCUAGAGCUCUUGGCUGCCAGAGGGGAGGCCUUGUCUCCCUUUCCACUCUGUCCUCGCUAUGUAGCUGGGUGAGUGCAGUAAGAACUAGCUCUGCUGUCUGCUCUAAGGACUCCUAAAGGUUCCUCAUUGUCUAGUGGUACAGUGUAGUGGGGGUGAGGCAGGCAGUGAGGGUCUUACUGUCAAACCCUUACUGGGCUCUUUCUUGCCCAUGCAGUCAGCUCAACACACCCAACAAAGUAGUUGUUGGCCAACCACCCCUACCCCCUGCCCAAGUUUCUGGCUGAACUCCGGCAGCCCCAUGACCUGCAGGAGCACAGGCAGACUGGGGGUAACCCUGCCCUCUCUGGCGGGUACUCACUCAGCUGUGAACUCGUUGGUUCCCACAGGGAUGCAGUAGACGAACUGCAUGGCGCUCCACAGCCGGUGGAACUCCACACACUCAUCGACGUGCAUGACGCCAUUGGUGGGCGGCGGGCCCCGCCAGAUGGGGUCCUGCAGGUAGCUCCGAAUGCGGGUCAGGAUGACCUCAAACAUGGACAGGCCACAGCACAGCCGCUCCUUGGUCAGAAGGUCACCCUCGCGAGCGAUGGCGAUUUGCUGGAAAUGGAAGGGCACAUACACCUUCUAUCCACAUCUUAGAGCCCAUCUGCCACCUCCCACCAGAGAUUCCCAAACUCUGAAGCUGGCUGCACCUGGAAUGAAUUCACCAGAACUGGUCUUGUUCAGAGCAGGGCACAAACUUGAUGAUCCUGAAUGCAACAGCAGGGAAGUUUCACGGUCACCAAAUAUCUACUGAGUGCUUGCUCUGUGAUCUGGCAGACAACCCAGAGGCACAGAGAUGAAGAUGGCACGCUCCAUGGAGCCAGGGAGGGGCCUGGAUGCUGCGGGAAACCCUAUAACAGAUUAGAUCCAACAAAUAUUAAGAGGCUGUGAUGACCAGACCAUUUAUGGACACGAGAUAAAAGACAUAGCACUACCACUACAGACUGCAGGAGGAAGGUCUUUUCAAGAAGUAGCGCCAGAACAAUCUGGAAAUAAAAGAUUUAUACCUCCCAUUAAACACAAGCAUCAAUUCUAGCCCCCAAGGACUGGGAUCAUCAAUACCGGAAACCUGUGCUUUAGUUCUUCCAUCUCUGCUGCUGCUAUGCUGUGUGACUUCAGGUGAGUUCCUCCUCUCUCUGGUUCUCUGUUUUCUCACUUAUGAAUAGAAGGAGUUGAAACACUCAUGCUGUAGGGGGUCUGUCUCAGCUCUGAAGGUCAUUGAUACUGAGUGUCCUGUUGUCCUCAGUGAUACACGUGAGUGACCACCCAGACGGUGCCUGAGGAAGUUGUCCUUUCCUUGCAGCCCCCAUCAAUAGUCUGCCUCCUGGAGUCUGAAUCGGGGAAGCUGAACUGGCGGUCUCUGAAUCACAGUUCCUCAUGAAGAGAGGUGCUUAACAGGAGACACUCGGGGAAUGAGGCUUCAGGGACCCCCCACCCCGACCUCCACUGUUCCUGGUGCCCCUGAGGCCUUCAGAAGUUGUCCCUAUGUAUCCCUGUGACUUCUGAAGGCUACAUUGCUAUAGCAACCUGGGUCUGCUGAUCUGUGUAAAAAACCUAUCAAUUAGUUGUCUGGAAAGUCCAUUUAAGGGGUAACAAGCAAUUACUCCUUAUAGAGGAAGAGCAAACAGUCCCCAUUUCAGAGCCUUUCAGGGUGAGUUUGAGAGCGGCAGGUCCAAGUCACUCAUUUUAGGGAUGGGGGAUGAAAUGAACUGGUUCAUCCCAAGUCACAAAGACAAUUAGAGGCAAGGCAUCCUUUCUGGCUCUGAUUCGGAAGCUCCAUUAUCUCUCUACCUUUGUUCCAGGCUCUUCCUUUCCCCUCCCGUCUAUUCUCCGAGCACCUACUGCCUCCAAGAUGGGCUCUAGAUUGUAAGAGACUUGUCGUUCACUCUCCCAAUAGCUCCCAGGCCUUUGAAAACAGCCAAGCAGACCCCCUCACCUGCUGCUCACAUGGCAUCCUGCAGUGGCCCAUGAGGCCCCAGUGACCUGCUGCCUGGCUGCCUCCCUCCACGUCUCUUACCUCUGUCCUCUUGGCACCAGCUCACUAUGAGGUCCUCCCUGUCCCUUAAAGACCAAGCUCUAUCCUCUUCAAAAACAGCACAUCCCUCUCUGACACAGCCACUCUCCCUUUAUCCUGUAAUCCUGUGUAUUCCUUCACAGCUCCCCUCCCCAUCUGCAACCACAAUCUGAUUAUUAUGACUUUGCUUGUUUCCCUCUCUGGAAUAAAAAUGGCAAAACUCUGUCUCUUA